rnacentral:rRNA from 1 species
CCUACGGGUGGCAGCAGUAGGGAAUCUUCCACAAUGGGCGAAAGCCUGAUGGAGCAACGCCGCGUGGGUGAAGAAGGCCUUCGGAUCGUAAAACACUGUUGUUAGAGAAGAAAGUGUUUGAGAGUAACUGUUCACGUUUCGACGGUAUCUAACCAGAAAGCCACGGCUAACUACGUGCCAGCAGCCGCGGUAAUACGUAGGUGGCAAGCGUUAUCCGGAGUUAUUGGGCGUAAAGGGCACGCAGGCGGUCUUUUAAGUCUGAUGUGAAAGCCUUCGGCUAAACCGGGGUAGUGCAUUCGAAACUGGGAGGCUUGAGUGCAGAAGAGGGGAGUAGAACUCCAUGUGUAGCGGUGAAAUGCGUAGAUAUAUGGAGGAACACCAGUGGCGAAGGCGGCUCUCUGGUC